GGUGAUGCUGGAGCUCCUGGAAAGUCUAUUGAAAUGAAGGACAUUGAAGAGAUGUUUGAAGCAUAUGGAAUAAGGCUUCCUUUGCUGAAGGCUUUGAUUGACAGACUGCUGCAGGACGGAAUAGAGGAGCUGCUUCAUGUGCUCGGCACGACCAAGAAGGCAAAGGAAAACACAGACAGUCACACCUCCAACAUCAUCACAGAGUACACAAGUUCAGUGAAGUUUGACCUCACCAGCCAGCCUUCGUCUGACUUGGGCACCAUUGAAGAUGCAGCUUUAGAUUUUUCAGAGUCUUUGUCUAUUGAGCCUUUAAAUGAAACUGAAGAGGGUCCGACUUUAUGGACCGUCACUGCACUGAAUGGAGAGCAAGGGCUUGACAAGACUGAAACCAAAUUAAGGGGAUCCAGAAGGAAGGAGAUGGGGCCUUCACUCAAACUUAACCUAACUGUAGUCAAUACUACUUUUAAUUAUACUAUGAUGGAGGAGACGGUUUCAGGUUUACCUGGACCUGUGGUGGAAACUGUUCUUCUCACUCACGAAGAGUCUCUGACUAAGAAUGCGGGACAGAAGAAGAACAGGGAGCGUGGGAAGGCCAAAGGAAAUAAAGGACGACAUAAGAGGCAGAGACAGCGCCUGACAAGUGAAGGUGACAAGCAAGAAGAAGAGGAAGAGGAGGAGUUUUAUAACGGUGAAGAACUCAGUUAUGAGUAUGAGCAGGAGGAACCCUCCCCAGACGACCCCGCAGCCUCCACACAGCUUGAAGCCUUAACAGAUGGGUCCCUUCGUCUCGUGGAUAAAAAGGUGAACAUUAAUAAUAUGGUAGCCCACGGAAUAGUAAAAACUCAUUUACUGUGUCAGAACUAUGCUAUGAUGGACGAGCGGCUGAGACAGCUGAGCUCUGUUAGUCACUGCUCUGUUGUACCUGAGGAAAGCGGCACAUCUUGUCCUGUGUGCUGCUUUAGGAGGACGAAGUAUCCACACACAGUCCCAUCCAGAGAGAAACAUCAGCAGGAGCCUCCAGUCGUCCUGUGGCUUUACUCGCAGAAAGUGAAGCACCUGCAAAGGAUGAAGUGUCGCUGGCAACACCUCCCAUCACAACAGAGGAACCAGACGAGGUGCCUCGGUCUCAGUUCAGGGUGA
rnacentral:lncRNA from 1 species